rnacentral:ncRNA from 1 species
UUUUAGGUGCCUUUUUUAGGCUUAAAAGGGAAGUUUGGUGAAUUACAAUAAUCCAACACUGCCCCCGCAACGGUAAUUAAGUAAAUAACUGAUCAAAUGUCACUGUGCUCUUUAGCAUGGGAAGGCGAUUAGUUAUGCGCCAGCAACUUAUGAGUCCGGAGACCUACCUAUUAG